UCUUGGACAGCCUUCUGAAAGGGAGAUUAAUACAAGAUGUUAUCAUGAGUAAGCAUUUUCGCAUGAUUAAAGGUUUACCGGUGUAAGAUGGGGAUGCGUUCCAUUAGAUAGUAGGCGGGGUAACGGCCCACCUAGUCUUCGAUGGAUAGGGGUUCUGAGAGGAAGGUCCCCCACAUUGGAACUGAGACACGGUCCAAACUCCUACGGGAGGCAGCAGUGAGGAAUAUUGGUCAAUGGACGAGAGUCUGAACCAGCCAAGUAGCGUGAAGGAUGAAGGUUCUAUGGAUUGUAAACUUCUUUUAUACGGGAAUAAACGAAUCCACGUGUGGAUUUUUGCAUGUACCGUAUGAAUAAGGAUCGGCUAACUCCGUGCCAGCAGCCGCGGUAAUACGGAGGAUCCGAGCGUUAUCCGGAUUUAUUGGGUUUAAAGGAGCGUAAAGGGUUGUUAACUCACUUGUGAAAGUUGCGGCUCAACCGUAAAAUUGCAAUUGAUACUGGCAGUCUUGAGUACAGUUGAGGUAGGCGGAAUUCGUGGUGUAGCGGUGAAAUGCUUAGAUAUCACGAAGAACUCCGAUUGCGAAGGCAGCUUACUAACCUGUAACUGACAUUGAUGCUCGAAAGUGUGGGUAUCAAACAGGAUUAGAUACCCUGGUAGUCCACACGGUAAACGAUGAAUACUCGCUGUAGGCGAUAUACAGUCUGCGGCCAAGCGAAAGCAUUAAGUAUUCCACCUGGGGAGUACGCCGGCAACGGUGAAACUCAAAGGAAUUGACGGGGGCCCGCACAAGCGGAGGAACAUGUGGUUUAAUUCGAUGAUACGCGAGGAACCUUACCCGGGCUUAAAUUGCAACCGAAUAUGGCGGAAACGCUAUAGCUAGCAAUAGCGGUUGUGAAGGUGCUGCAUGGUUGUCGUCAGCUCGUGCCGUGAGGUGUCGGCUUAAGUGCCAUAACGAGCGCAACCCUUGCCGAUAGUUACUAACAGGUUAUGCUGAGGACUCUGUCGGGACUGCCAUCGUAAGAUGUGAGGAAGGUGGGGAUGACGUCAAAUCAGCACGGCCCUUACGUCCGGGGCUACACACGUGUUACAAUGGGGGGUACAGAGGGCUGCUACCACGCAAGUGGAUGCCAAUCCCAAAAACCUCUCUCAGUUCGGAUUGAAGUCUGCAACCCGACUUCAUGAAGCUGGAUUCGCUAGUAAUCGCGCAUCAGCCACGGCGCGGUGAAUACGUUCCCGGGCCUUGUACACACCGCCCG
rnacentral:rRNA from 1 species